rnacentral:rRNA from 1 species
ACGCUUAGGCGUGUGACUGCGUACCUUUUGUAUAAUGGGUCAGCGACUUAUAUUCUGUAGCAAGGUUAACCGAAUAGGGGAGCCGAAGGGAAACCGAGUCUUAACUGGGCGUUAAGUUGCAGGGUAUAGACCCGAAACCCGGUGAUCUAGCCAUGGGCAGGUUGAAGGUUGGGUAACACUAACUGGAGGACCGAACCGACUAAUGUUGAAAAAUUAGCGGAUGACUUGUGGCUGGGGGUGAAAGGCCAAUCAAACCGGGAGAUAGCUGGUUCUCCCCGAAAGCUAUUUAGGUAGCGCCUCGUGAAUUCAUCUCCGGGGGUAGAGCACUGUUUCGGCAAGGGGGUCAUCCCGACUUACCAACCCGAUGCAAACUGCGAAUACCGGAGAAUGUUAUCACGGGAGACACACGGCGGGUGCUAACGUCCGUCGUGAAGAGGGAAACAACCCAGACCGCCAGCUAAGGUCCCAAAGUCAUGGUUAAGUGGGAAACGAUGUGGGAAGGCCCAGACAGCCAGGAUGUUGGCUUAGAAGCAGCCAUCAUUUAAAGAAAGCGUAAUAGCUCACUGGUCGAGUCGGCCUGCGCGGAAGAUGUAACGGGG